rnacentral:lncRNA from 1 species
UCUUUUUUCUUGGAAUUUUGUGACGGUGUAUACGACGGUUUAAUCAACCGUUGCAGAUUUUGGAUCUAAAACUGUGGAACCAUAUUCAGCCCCAUACAAUUCUACUCUCAGUCAUACUCAAAUCCUUUUUCACUAUUUUUUUUGUUCAAACCCUUCUUCACUUUUUGUUCUAAAAAAACCCUAAAAUCCCUAAAUCAUUCCCCUGCGACAAAUCCACUCUCCAAAUCAUCUUCCCCUUCAUCGUUCCAAUCCCCCAAUCUCUAAAUCCCCUUCAUGUUCCAAUCAACGAAGCUUCAUCGUUUUUUCGCUGGAAAGCUUCAUCGUUCUGUUUUUGUUCUCUCCCUCCCCCGCUCUCUCUCGUUAUGUCUCCGACAACGACGGCAGCUUCUGCCACCCUUCAGGCAGCAUCCGCCAGCACACCAUCCGUAGUUUACACGUUCAGGUUUGUUUUCCCUUAUUUUUCCUUCCAUUUCUUUGUUCUGGUUAGUUUUCCAUUAGGUUGCACAGCCUAAGGGUUAUCUAUCUACCAUUAGGUUUCCAUUAUUUUUCCUUCCCUU